CUGAAUGGCGCCAGGGCCUCAGGACCAUCAAAUACUGUCCAUCAAAAGUUACCCCCAGCACAACAGAGAAAGAAUGAACAGACAAGCCAAAACAAGUUGGAACAAUCAGUUGAUGUGUUUAAUGAUGCAUAAAACGAAGGUAAUGGUGCAGGAGUUCAUGAUCAACCCACCAAACUGCCUGCGGACAAAGAAAAAGUUGCUAACUUGCCUGUGAGUAAAAAGUUGGGCCAGAAUGGUAAGAACUCUUCCACAGCUGGGGGUUCUCUGGCAAAUCUAUGGGGUCGUGCUUCACCCACAACAAAAUCAAGUGGUGGCGUAGCAGAAAUUAGCAGCACCGCUCCAAGUUCCACCGUUAGUGCAGAAGCCCAAAUUUGUGCACAUGAGGAAGCAGAAUUGGACAGCGAUGAUGAGGGUCUGGAUGUCAAUCUUAAGAGACGCACCAAGCCUGAAGGCAGUAGAAAAAGAAGAGUUGUAUUUGAUUUCUCAGAUGAACAUGACGAAAAUGAA